rnacentral:rRNA from 1 species
UACGGAGGGGGCGAGCGUUAUUCGGAAUUAUUGGGCGUAAAGGGCUCGUAGGCGGUCUGUCGCGUCGGGAGUGAAAACUUACAGCUUAACUGUGAGCGUGCUUCCGAUACGGGCAGACUUGAGGUAUUCAGGGGAGAACGGAAUUCCUGGUGUAGCGGUGAAAUGCGCAGAUAUCAGGAGGAACACCGGUGGCGAAGGCGGUUCUCUGGGAAUAUCCUGACGCUGAGGAGCGAAAGUGUGGGGAGCGAACAGG